AUGCAGAUGUCCAGGCAGAGGCAGUGGGGUACCGGCGCCAAGCAGCAAAGGUGGGCCGGGGAGCCAGUCAGGGCUUGCGGAGGGAGGCAGGGACGUCAGCAUCCGCCUCUCCACCUGGAGGCACCAGCCUCGUGUUUACAGUAAUGCCUCAUUCUGCCUCCCGCCCCAAGUUGGAAACGGCCUUGUUCCUCUCUGACUCAAGCCCCUGCAGCCUUUUGGAUUUUUCAGAUGAAACCCCACUUCAUGCCGGGACCAACUGCAAGUGGCAGCUUCGGCAUUUCUCUAGCGGCGGAGCCAGAGGGGGCCUGGCAGGGGAGAAGGUCCCCAGGGCUUCUCCUCAGGGCCUGGUCUUAGAAGUCGGCUCAUGUGACGGUGGGGUCUGGCGAGUCUGGGACCUGGCGGCGGGCCGCAGGCUCAGGAGCAGAUGCUGCAGACCAGAGGCAGGAGUCCUGCCCCGCCAGGAGAGCCUCAGCCUUGGCUCAGCACGCCCGUCAACUUCUCGGGUGAGGCCCACCCACGAUCUCGAGGAAAACCCCCCUCCAGGUCGGCUGGUGGUGGAUGCUGCCCGCAUUGGAGAACCCCUCCCGGCCUCACCCAUACACAGCCGCCGCCCCAGCCCUGUGGCGCGCCCCCCACCCACCGCUGCCUCUCGGCCAGGCCUCCGUCCUCUCCUGCGACUCGGCAAACAGUCGCCUCUUCCUGGGACCCACUGCUCCAUCCGCUCAUCUCAGCUUUAAAAAAAAAUUAUAACCAUUUUUUUCUCUUCGAUAUAUUUUUUGGCAACAUAUUUGAUAUACAAUAUCACACUGGUUUCGAACGUACAUCAUAGUGACUUGGUAAUUCUCACCAACCCCGGCUUUUAACCCAGACUGGUGCCAAUGUACGUCCUUCAAAGACAAGACGCCUGUGUCCACUUCUCAGGUCAGAACAUGUUGAUGGUUUCACUGCGCUCUUUAGGUAAAGGUUCCAGUUCCUGAUUCAGAUCCGAAAGCACUCUAAGCUCCCGGGUUUCUACGCACGAGGGGCCGGGGCCCCCGGCUGGGGAUGUGUGAUGUGUGUAGACUUGAGAGCGCUGUCCUGACAAAGCGCCCCAGGCCGGUGGCCUGUCCGGUGCUCCUUUCCUUGCAUCCUCACGUGAUGUCCCUGGGUGCGCCCAAAUCUCUUCCGACAAGGACCCACUCAGUUUGGGUGAAGGCGGGCCACCCUAACCUCAUUUUACCCCGGCCACCUCGGCGAAGAGGUAUCUCCAAGUAAGCUUACGCUCUGGGUGCUGGGAGUUAGGACACCAACGUAGGAAUUCGGGGGCAGACGAUUCGACCCAUAACAGGAAGUAAGGAACUAUUUGCUGUGAGGCUGUGUUUCCACCUAGUUAUUAGCGAUUAUGCAAAGUAGGCAUGAGUUACAAUGCUCUGUGUAAUCGUGAUACAACAAUGCAGGCAAGCCCUGUGAGGGGAGGGGUGUGGGUGAGCUUCAUUCGCACAGACGUGGUCAGCCAAGGCAAUAACAAUCGGUUCUUCCAUUGAUUUGGCUUUGAACUGAACUCAUUACAGAAAUGGAAUUAUAGAAUUCAGAAUACAGAAGCAUAUUCAAGAUUAGGCUGGAAUCAGAACUGAACAUCAAUGGAACCAGAAAAUAACGAAGAGGAAGUAUUUCCAUUGCCCGUCACCCCAAGGAAACACCCCAAAUGCUAACAACAAAAUCAGGAGCAACCAGAACCCGGUGUUUUUUAUGAUUUGGAAAUGAAAGUCUCUAAGGCAUUGGCCAGCCUGUGCUAUUUCUGAGAAAACCAUGCCCUUCCUGGGUUGGGAUGGCAACCUCCCCCACUGCCUGGAUCCCAGCCGGGCAUUCUGCUCACGAGUCAGAGAGGAAAUCCGUGCUGGUUGCUGAACUGAAGUGUUAUCUGGAAGUUGACAUUCCAAUCACUUCUUCUCAGGGGCCGUGCGUAUCCAGCCAGAAGCGUCAUUCCCUCCUGACCCACAUCCUCCUGGAGCCCCGGGAGCUGGGGGCCCCCCCUGGGAAGGGAGGUAGCACCAAGGCUGGGGGCCGGGCCCGGGGGGUCUCUGCGUUCCCACCUCAUCACAAGCGGGACUCCAGACCCACUGAAUAUGUCUACGUAGAGCAGGGAGACAUGCACACUGGGAGAAAUGUCCACGCUGUGCAUGCAGUCCACACAGUCACCUACAGUUUGUGACUAUGAGUCCGUGAGAAAAAGACGAAUGUCAAAAAGGGAAGGGCUCCCGGAUCCGGGCCCAGCACAGAAAGCCAAAUGCAAAGAAAGAUGACAGACGGUCCAUCUUGUUUGUCAUUCAAAAACUGGGCAGCCAAACCAAAAGGGGGCGAAUCUCUUUCCAAUUGCCAAGAAUGAAAACAAAAGCGUACAAUGGUUUAGGUCUGCAAAUACCUGGGAGAAAUCUUGAAACACUGGUGGAAAAGCUGGAUGUUGACAGCAUUAUUUAUGACAGCUGCACAUUGGAAGCAGCCCACAGAUGGAUCCAUUACCAGGAAAAUAGAUAAAUAAUUCGUGGUCUGUCCACAUCAUGGAGCACGACUGAGCCAUAAGGAGGAAAGGUUAGUUAUCUAACAAUAUUACUGAACAGAACGUUGAUACAUGUAACUAUCUGGAUGGAUCUUGAAAACAUGAUUCCUAGUUAAGGAAAGGUCAAACACAUAAUAGGGGAUGACACCACAUACAUGAAAUUCCAGAAAGGCAAAUAAAUCUACAGCGGCCGAGAGCAAAUCAGAGGUUGCUGGGUGAGGGGGGCAGUAGAGGGGGGCCUCAGGCAAAGGGGUGCAGGGUGUAAUUAAAUGUUCUGUAUUGCAGUUAUGAUGUUUGUUAUAUGACUGUACCAUCACUAACAUGUAUCAAACUGCACACUAAAAAUGGGGAAAUCGCACUCUGUGUUAAUUAUACCUCAACAAAUCCAAAGGAUAUUUUUAAAAUUUCAACUUCAUAAAUCUGUGUUCCAUGAUGAGGGGAUUGUUCUUAUGGCACAGCAAGCUGGGGUGCAGUGGGAGUUGGGGGACAAACACACCCUCCCUCUGCAGACUCCAGUCUACCACCGCGGUCGGCUAGGCGGGGUUCUGGAACCCGCAGGCGAUUGACCGCAGAGCCUAGAAAUGUUGUUCUCUGCAGCCUCUGUUUCCAUGGCACCACCAGUUGGAGCUCGAAUCUGCGGGUCAGAGCGGCUCGGGGCCCUGGAGGCAGAGAGGAGGAAGGGCUCAAGGCUGCGGUCUCCUCCAUCAGCACUUACAGGAUGGUUUUUGUGUACAUUAAAAUAUGUUGGGAUGGUGCUAGGAAAGGGGAGGCAGGGAGCCUCUGCUCGAGUGAGGAUUCGUGCUCCAACAGAAGCCAGCUGUGGCCAGCUUCAACAGGUGGGCAAGCUACUGCAGAAUCGUGGGUAGGUCCCAGACUCCCAGGCGGCCACACACCGAGGCUGGGAGGGGCCGCUAGCAGACGGACAUCUUCCGGACCUUGGGUGGGCUGUCCGCGAUUCUUCUCGCUGCUGUCUCCUCCGCUCCCUGGUCUCUUAGCUUGCUUCUCCUUGACCCCAGCACCUCAGUGCACAGCCCAGGCCUCCCAUGGAGCUGCAGACACUCCAUGCAGUACAGGGCUUGGCAUUUCCAUCUCCACUGCUCUCACCUCACAAUGGAUCACAUCAACAGUGGAAAACUGACUGUCACACAUCAGAUCAAAUUUCUCUCCAAAAUACACCUUCUGCCUCCACGCACUCCUGAUCGACUCCUCCCACAUCCUCCCCACCCUCUCCUAAAGCCCUGCCCUCAUGUUGGCCGAACUCCACAGCACGGUUUCAAAAAAGCCACUUAAAAAUAUCUUUUCUGGAAAAUGUCCAAGUUUUAUUUUAUACAUAACAUUUUUCUGUGUAUGUCAUUUGUAAAUAAAUCAAUAAAAGUAUGUUGGAAGAAUCAUAUCUGUGCAUGCUAGCGGCUGUGGCCAGCUCCCCUGCUAAUCUCACUGCUUCCCUUCCUGCCUCCUUCCCUGAGGCCAGAGUGAUCUUCCUACGGUGUAUCCUUAACCACUGACAGCUUUCUGAGCUGGAUUGGUUUUGGCACGAUUCCUCCAGUUACCACCUACAUCACUCUUACGCCGUCUCUAUUUUCUCUGAUUCCACUGCACCCAUAUAUCCACGGAAUUCAAUCUGUCACAGGAAGACCAGACCAGUCUUACCCAAAAUGGAUGCAUAUAUACAAGGUUCUCAGUGGACAUUUUCAUAAGGAAGAUACACUAAUAGCCAAUAAGCACUUGAAAUGAUGUUCAAGAUACUUGGCCACUAAGAAAAUUCAAAUCACAACCACCGUGAGAUGCUGCUGUAUACCCACUGGGAUGUCUAUAAUAAAAAAGACAAAUUACGGCAAGUGUUGGCAAGGCUGUGGGUGAGGAAAUUGGAAACCUUGUAAAUGCUGGUGGGGAUAAAAAAUGGUGCAGCUAGCUGCUUUGGAAAACAGUCUGGCAGUCCCUCAAAAGUUUAAAUAUAGAGCUACCAUAUGACCCAGCAAGACUGCUGCCAGGUGUGCACCCCAGGGAAGUGAACAUAUCCACACAAAAACCUGAACAUAAAUGUUCACAGCAGCAUUAUUUGCAACAGCCAAGAAAUGAAAACAGC